UAGUAACGGCGAGUGAAGCGGGAAGAGCUCAAGCUUAAAAUCUCUGCGCAAGUUUUGCGCGGCGAAUUGUAGUCUAUAGACGCGGCAUCAGUGCGACCGUUCGGGGUAAGUUCCUUGGAAGAGGACAGCAAUGAGGGUGAUACUCCCGUUUGUACCCGAGUGUGUUGCACGUACGAUGCGUGUUCUUUGAGUCGCGUUGUUUGGGAAUGCAGCGCAAAGUAGGUGGUAAAUUCCAUCUAAAGCUAAAUAUUGGUGCGAGACCGAUAGCGAACAAGUACCGUGAGGGAAAGAUGAAAAGAACUUUGAAAAGAGAGUUAAAAAGUACCUGAAACUGCUGAAAGGGAACCGGGUCGUUGCCAGUGUCUAUAAUCCGCUGCAUAUUUCAUUGCUGUGCGAGUCCGUGUCGCGCGUUGGUAGUAGUUUGUUCUGCACCGCGCGUGUCUGUGGGUUUGCUCGGCGGUGCCCUGUGCGGUGGUGGGACGUCAGAGUCAGUUCGUGUUGCUGCGGGAAAUGGCUGUCGAGGAGGUAGGUCAGGAGCUUGCUUUUGGCUGUUAUAUCUUGGCAUGCUAGUUGUCGUGGUUGGGACUGAGGUGCCUUACAACGUGCUUUUGGAGUGUGUGUGCGUCUCUGUGUGCGUCCGGAUUGGAUAGCUUGCUAUGCAGUUUGUCACGUGUGCGGAUGGAUGUGCGUGCUUACUUUUGGCCGUUC
rnacentral:rRNA from 1 species